rnacentral:rRNA from 1 species
AGUGGCGGACGGGUGAGUAACGCGUGAGAAUCUGCCUUCAGGUCGGGGACAACAGAGGGAAACUUCUGCUAAUCCCGGAUGAGCCUUAGGGUAAAAAAUUUAUUGCCUGGAGAUGAGCUCGCGUCUGAUUAGCUAGUUGGUAAGGUAAAAGCUUACCAAGGCAACGAUCAGUAGCUGGUCUGAGAGGAUGAGCAGCCACACUGGGACUGAGACACGGCCCAGACUCCUACGUGAGGCAGCAGUGGGGAAUUUUCCGCAAUGGGCGAAAGCCUGACGGAGCAAGACCGCGUGGGGGAGGAAGGCUCUAGGGUUGUAAACCCCUUUUCUUUGGGAAGAACAAAAUGACGGUACCAAAGGAAUCAGCCUCGGCUAACUCCGUGCCAGCAGCCGCGGUAAUACGGAGGAGGCAAGCGUUAUCCGGAAUGAUUGGGCGUAAAGCGUCCGCAGGUGGCAAUGUAAGUCUGCUGUCAAAACCCAGGGCUCAACUCUGGUCAGGCAGUGGAAACUACAUAGCUAGAGUUCGGUAGGGGCAAAGGGAAUUCCCGGUGUAGCGGUGAAAUGCGUAGAGAUCGGGAAGAACAUCGGUGGCGAAAGCGCUUUGCUAGACCGAAACUGACACUCAGGGACGAAAGCUAGGGGAGCGAAUGGGAUUAGAUACCCC